GCAAGUCGAGGGGUAACAGAGAAAAGCUUGCUUUUUUGCUGACGACCGGCACACGGGUGCGUAACGCGUAUAGAACCUACCUUUUACUGAGGGAUAGCCUUUAAAAAUGAAGAUUAAUACCUCAUGCAUCAAAUUUUCUCUUGAUUAUUUGAUUAAAGAUUUAUUGGUAAAAGAUGGCUAUGCGUCCUAUUAGCUAGAUGGUAAGGUAACGGCUUACCAUGGCAACGAUAGGUAGGCGUCCUGAGAGGGAGAUC
rnacentral:rRNA from 1 species